AACGCACAUUGCGCCCGCCGGUAUUCUGGCGGGCAUGCCUGUUCGAGCGUCAUUUCAACCCCUCGGCCCCCCUCGGGGACCGGCGUUGGGGACCGGCCCCGCCACCCGCGGCGGCCGCCCCCGAAAUCCAGUGGCGGCCACGCCGCGGCUCCCUCUGCGCAGUAGCAAUCGCCUCGCAGCCUGGGACGCGGCGCGGCCACGCCUCGACGCAAACCAUCUCGUGGUUGACCUCGGAUCAGGUAGGAAUACCCGCUGAACUUAA
rnacentral:misc_RNA from 1 species